GGUUAAGCGACUAAGCGUACACGGUGGAUGCCCUGGCAGUCAGAGGCGAUGAAGGACGUGCUAAUCUGCGAUAAGCGUCGGUAAGGUGAUAUGAACCGUUAUAACCGGCGAUUUCCGAAUGGGGAAACCCAGUGUGAUUCGUCACACUAUCAUUAACUGAAUCCAUAGGUUAAUGAGGCGAACCGGGGGAACUGAAACAUCUAAGUACCCCGAGGAAAAGAAAUCAACCGAGAUUCCCCCAGUAGCGGCGAGCGAACGGGGAGCAGCCCAGAGCCUGAAUCAGUGUGUGUGUUAGUGGAAGCGUCUGGAAAGGCGCGCGAUACAGGGUGACAGCCCCGUACACAAAAAUGCACAUGCUGUGAGCUCGAUGAGUAGGGCGGGACACGUGGUAUCCUGUCUGAAUAUGGGGGGACCAUCCUCCAAGGCUAAAUACUCCUGACUGACCGAUAGUGAACCAGUACCGUGAGGGAAAGGCGAAAAGAACCCCGGCGAGGGGAGUGAAAAAGAACCUGAAACCGUGUACGUACAAGCAGUGGGAGCACGCUUAGGCGUGUGACUGCGUACCUUUUGUAUAAUGGGUCAGCGACUUAUAUUCUGUAGCAAGGUUAACCGAAUAGGGGAGCCGAAGGGAAACCGAGUCUUAACUGGGCGUUAAGUUGCAGGGUAUAGACCCGAAACCCGGUGAUCUAGCCAUGGGCAGGUUGAAGGUUGGGUAACACUAACUGGAGGACCGAACCGACUAAUGUUGAAAAAUUAGCGGAUGACUUGUGGCUGGGGGUGAAAGGCCAAUCAAACCGGGAGAUAGCUGGUUCUCCCCGAAAGCUAUUUAGGUAGCGCCUCGUGAAUUCAUCUCCGGGGGUAGAGCACUGUUUCGGCAAGGGGGUCAUCCCGACUUACCAACCCGAUGCAAACUGCGAAUACCGGAGAAUGUUAUCACGGGAGACACACGGCGGGUGCUAACGUCCGUCGUGAAGAGGGAAACAACCCAGACCGCCAGCUAAGGUCCCAAAGUCAUGGUUAAGUGGGAAACGAUGUGGGAAGGCCCAGACAGCCAGGAUGUUGGCUUAGAAGCAGCCAUCAUUUAAAGAAAGCGUAAUAGCUCACUGGUCGAGUCGGCCUGCGCGGAAGAUGUAACGGGGCUAAACCAUGCACCGAAGCUGCGGCAGCGACGCUUAUGCGUUGUUGGGUAGGGGAGCGUUCUGUAAGCCUGCGAAGGUGUGCUGUGAGGCAUGCUGGAGGUAUCAGAAGUGCGAAUGCUGACAUAAGUAACGAUAAAGCGGGUGAAAAGCCCGCUCGCCGGAAGACCAAGGGUUCCUGUCCAACGUUAAUCGGGGCAGGGUGAGUCGACCCCUAAGGCGAGGCCGAAAGGCGUAGUCGAUGGGAAACAGGUUAAUAUUCCUGUACUUGGUGUUACUGCGAAGGGGGGACGGAGAAGGCUAUGUUGGCCGGGCGACGGUUGUCCCGGUUUAAGCGUGUAGGCUGGUUUUCCAGGCAAAUCCGGAAAAUCAAGGCUGAGGCGUGAUGACGAGGCACUACGGUGCUGAAGCAACAAAUGCCCUGCUUCCAGGAAAAGCCUCUAAGCAUCAGGUAACAUCAAAUCGUACCCCAAACCGACACAGGUGGUCAGGUAGAGAAUACCAAGGCGCUUGAGAGAACUCGGGUGAAGGAACUAGGCAAAAUGGUGCCGUAACUUCGGGAGAAGGCACGCUGAUACGUAGGUGAAGUCCCUCGCGGAUGGAGCUGAAAUCAGUCGAAGAUACCAGCUGGCUGCAACUGUUUAUUAAAAACACAGCACUGUGCAAACACGAAAGUGGACGUAUACGGUGUGACGCCUGCCCGGUGCCGGAAGGUUAAUUGAUGGGGUCAGCGCAAGCGAAGCUCUUGAUCGAAGCCCCGGUAAACGGCGGCCGUAACUAUAACGGUCCUAAGGUAGCGAAAUUCCUUGUCGGGUAAGUUCCGACCUGCACGAAUGGCGUAAUGAUGGCCAGGCUGUCUCCACCCGAGACUCAGUGAAAUUGAACUCGCUGUGAAGAUGCAGUGUACCCGCGGCAAGACGGAAAGACCCCGUGAACCUUUACUAUAGCUUGACACUGAACAUUGAGCCUUGAUGUGUAGGAUAGGUGGGAGGCUUUGAAGUGUGGACGCCAGUCUGCAUGGAGCCGACCUUGAAAUACCACCCUUUAAUGUUUGAUGUUCUAACGUGGACCCGUGAUCCGGGUUGCGGACAGUGUCUGGUGGGUAGUUUGACUGGGGCGGUCUCCUCCUAAAGAGUAACGGAGGAGCACGAAGGUUGGCUAAUCCUGGUCGGACAUCAGGAGGUUAGUGCAAUGGCAUAAGCCAGCUUGACUGCGAGCGUGACGGCGCGAGCAGGUGCGAAAGCAGGUCAUAGUGAUCCGGUGGUUCUGAAUGGAAGGGCCAUCGCUCAACGGAUAAAAGGUACUCCGGGGAUAACAGGCUGAUACCGCCCAAGAGUUCAUAUCGACGGCGGUGUUUGGCACCUCGAUGUCGGCUCAUCACAUCCUGGGGCUGAAGUAGGUCCCAAGGGUAUGGCUGUUCGCCAUUUAAAGUGGUACGCGAGCUGGGUUUAGAACGUCGUGAGACAGUUCGGUCCCUAUCUGCCGUGGGCGCUGGAGAACUGAGGGGGGCUGCUCCUAGUACGAGAGGACCGGAGUGGACGCAUCACUGGUGUUCGGGUUGUCAUGCCAAUGGCACUGCCCGGUAGCUAAAUGCGGAAGAGAUAAGUGCUGAAAGCAUCUAAGCACGAAACUUGCCCCGAGAUGAGUUCUCCCUGACUCCUUGAGAGUCCUGAAGGAACGUUGAAGACGACGACGUUGAUAGGCCGGGUGUGUAAGCGCAGCGAUGCGUUGAGCUAACCGGUACUAAUGAACCGUGAGGCUUAACCUU
rnacentral:rRNA from 1 species